rnacentral:tRNA from 1 species
AGUUAACUAGUAUAAAUAAAAUAUUUGAUUUCGACUCAAAAGUUUGUGGUUAAAAUCCACAGUUAACUA